CCCAGGUCCCUGGAGCGCGCCGGUCCGGUCCGCACUGCAGCCAGCGUUGGAGGAGCCCCUCUCCAACCGGCCCGCUCUCCUCCCGCCCUUCCCCGCCCCCCACGGGUGUUGGCCCGGCGGUAGAGCGGGCUCUUCCAGGGUCGAUGAAGCCCAGAAAUGUCCCACCCGUGUCUCUUGUCUGCUCUCCAAGCACCAAGAAAAAUGCCAGUAGGUAAAGUACUGUUUGGAA